AUUGAACGCUGGCGGCAGGCUUAACACAUGCAAGUCGAGCGGAGUGAUGGUGCUUGCACUAUCACUUAGCGGCGGACGGGUGAGUAAUGCUUAGGAAUCUGCCUAUUAGUGGGGGACAACAUCUCGAAAGGGAUGCUAAUACCGCAUACGUCCUACGGGAGAAAGCAGGGGAUCACUUGUGACCUUGCGCUAAUAGAUGAGCCUAAGUCGGAUUAGCUAGUUGGUGGGGUAAAGGCCUACCAAGGCGACGAUCUGUAGCGGGUCUGAGAGGAUGAUCCGCAACACUGGGACGGAGACACGGCCCAGACUCCUACGGGAGGGAGCAGUGGGGAAUAUUGGACAAUGGGGGGAACCCUGAUCCAGCCAUGCCGCGUGUGUGAAGAAGGCCUUAUGGUUGUAAAGCACUUUAAGCGAGGAGGAGGCUCUUUUGGUUAAUACCCAAGACGAGUGGACGUUACUCGCAGAAUAAGCACCGGCUAACUCUGUGCCAGCCGCCGCGGUAA
rnacentral:rRNA from 1 species